rnacentral:rRNA from 1 species
GAUGAACGCUGGCGGCGUGCCUAAUACAUGCAAGUCGAGCGAACGGACGAGAAGCUUGCUUCUCUGAUGUUAGCGGCGGACGGGUGAGUAACACGUGGAUAACCUACCUAUAAGACUGGGAUAACUUCGGGAAACCGGAGCUAAUACCGGAUAAUAUUUUGAACCGCAUGGUUCAAAAGUAAAAGACGGUCUUGCUGUCACUUAUAGAUGGAUCCGCGCUGCACUAGCUAGUUGGUAAGGUAACGGCUUACCAAGGCAACGAUGCAUAGCCGACCUGAGAGGGUGAUCGGCCACACUGGAACUGAGACACGGUCCAGACUCCUACGGGAGGCAGCAGUAGGGAAUCUUCCGCAAUGGGCGAAAGCCUGACGGAGCAACGCCGCGUGAGUGAUGAAGGUCUUCGGAUCGUAAAACUCUGUUAUUAGGGAAGAACAUAUGUGUAAGUAACUGUGCACAUCUUGACGGUACCUAAUCAGAAAGCCACGGCUAACUACGUG